rnacentral:miRNA from 1 species
UAGGUAAAUCAAAUUUCAGGCUG